GAUGAAGAACGCAGCGAAAUGCGAUACUUGGUGUGAAUUGCAGAAUCCCGUGAACCAUCGAGUCUUUGAACGCAAGUUGCGCCCGAAGCCAUUAGGCCGAGGGCACGCCUGCCUGGGCGUCACACGUCGUUGCCCCCCCAUCUACUCCUUCGGGAUUGCGGGGGGCGGAUGAUGGCCUCCCGUGCGCCUCGUCGCGCGGUUGGCAUAAAUGCCAAGUCCUCGGCGACACACGCCACGACAAUCGGUGGUUGCGAAACCUCGGUUGCCCGUCGUGUGCGGUCGUCGCGCAUCGAGGGCUCGAAAAAAUUGCCGGGCUCCGGCUCGGCUUUCAACGCGACCCCAGGUCAGGCGGGGUUACCCGCUGUAUUUAAGCAUAUCAAUAAGCGGAGGA
rnacentral:misc_RNA from 1 species